CAUUUGACCUCCAUCAUCUAGGAUGUGACAAUGGUUAAUAAAAUCUCCCAAUUUCUGCCCAUUUUUUGCACGGUCUUGCAGGCUUUCUAAUGCAGCUGCAAAUCUAAGUGCAUUUGUAAAUCAAGUCCUUUCUUGAGUUGGGCUCUGGGAUGGUGCAACUGUUGAGAAUGUGAGUUUAUGGUUGUGUGGGGGGAAAGGGUUGAGUGUGUGUGGGUGUAUGUGUGUAUCCCACAACUGUUGCGAAGGAGUAAAAGAUGUUAGGGACAAUAGAGGAUGAUCCACAGCUAUAUAUAAUACAAAUCGAGGUGAGGGCGAUGGAAAUGCAUUUGGCAAUUGAUUUACUUAAAUUCGGUAAAUGGCACUGUGUGUUCUUUUCGAAGGAUGGAUCCCAGUCUGUUCAGGGCUAUGGGAUAUGGGGGAUCGGGGGUGGUCUGCCGGGCAUUGGGAUGACAACCCAACUAGGGAUGAGGAAGGCUUUUAGCGGGUGGAAUAGUAGGGACCAAUUGGAGGUUUACUUAGUAGCAAUGCAAAUAUCAUGGAACAGCUAUAUAGACACUCAAUCAUCAUGUUACUUUUUAAUGGUACGUUUACAAACAUAUAUUUUCAUAAAUAGAAUUUAAAGUUGUGUCUCAUUAUGGUAAGUGGUGAAAUAAGUAUAACCAGUUACAAUUGUAAUGGCCUAGCAGAUAAUAAGAAAAGACGAUCAGUAUUUACCUGGCUAAAAGAGAAGGAAUAUAAUAUCUAUUGUUUACAGUAAACCCAUUCAACAAUUUUAAAUUAAGUUUUGUGGAAAAAGAACUGGGGGGCGAAAUAUAUUUCUCCCAUGGGCAAAGAAAUUGAAAAGGGGUGAUGGUUUUAAUUAACAGUAAAUUUUGAUCCAAAUGUGCAAAUUGUCCAAACAGAUUAUCAGAUUAUAUGGAUUAUUUUAAAUAUGUUAUUGGACAAUAAACCGAUAUGGCUUAUUAACCUAUACGGUCCGAAUAAUGAUGAUCCAAGCUUCUUUGAAAUAUAAGAAUUUAUCAACUCUACAAGCAACACUAGACUCUAUUAUUAUGGUGGGAGAUUUUAAUACGGUCUUAAAUACCUCUAUGGACCGGAAAGGAAAUCACACAACAAACUAUCACCCUCAGGCACUUAAGGAAAUCAUGAAUGUCAUGGAUAUAUUGGAAUUAGUGGAUAUAUGGAGACUUAAAUACCCUGACCUAGUGAGAUAUACAUGGCGGAGGCUUAAUCAAGCUAGUCGUCUUGACUACUUUCUUAUGCCAUUCUCUCUGGCACCAAAAGUUUUAAAAGUGUUGAUAGGGGACAGAAUGCGGUCGGAUCAUCACAUAAUUGGCAUAUAUACUACUCUUACAGAAUUUCCACGUGGGCGAGGAUAUUGGAAAUUUAAUCAAAGCCUACUAGAUGAUAAAUUGUUUAGAACUAGGACAGAAGAAUUUAUAACUGACUUUUUCCAGACAUAACAUAGGUACAGCAGAUCCCCUUAUUGUAUGGGACACUUUUAAGUGUGCCUUUAGAGGCCAUGCAAUUCAGUACUCAUCUAUAAAACAAAAGCAAUUUAGAUCAAAAGAGUCCAUAUUAACAAAGGAAAUUGAAGGACUAACAGUACAGUUAGAUAGCAAUAAAAACGGUACCAUAGAGGCACAGAGGAAAAACAAAAAGAAAUGGAGGAACUUAUUCAAGAAAGAUCCAGUGUAAUAUAUUAUAAAAAUAAAGCGAACUGGAUGGAAUAUGGGGAAAAAAAUGCACCAAAUUCUUUUUCAAUCUUCAAUAUAGAAAUGCUACCAAUUUUUUUUUAUUAAAACUUGUUACAAAUGAUGGAGUCACGCAUGAUUCACCAAAUGAUAUUUUGAAAGAGGAAGUAAAGUACUUUAAGAUUUUGUUUUUCGUUUCAGGCUGCUCCAUCUCCACUAACUGAAACUAAUUGUAUGGAUUUUUUUCCUAAUAAUAAUGUAAAAUUAACAUCUUUACAGAAAGACUCAUGUGAAGGCCAAAUUACAGAGGAGGAACUGCUUGAUGCAAUUGGGGCCUUUAAGGAUGGGAAAACUCCAGGGCUGGAUGGCAUACCAGUGGAAGUAUACAAAACUUUUUUUGAUAUACCCAAAGGACCAUUAUUAGCAUGUUUUAACCACUCCUAUAUAAAUGGUAGAUUAUCAGACACGCAACAAGGUCUGAUAUCAUUAUUACUGAAACAGGACCCAAGUGGUAUAUAUAAAGAUCCAGUCCAUUUAAAAAAUUGGAGCCCUCUUACACUUCAGUGUUGAGAUGCAAAAAUCCUAGCAAAAUGCUUGGCGCAUAGAAUUAAAAAAGUAUUGUCAGAUAUUAUUCAUCCUAAUCAGACAGGUUUUUUACAUGGACGAUACAUUGGAGAUAAUAUAAGACAAGUACUGGAAACAAUAGAAUACUAUGAAAUAUCGGGGACACUAGGCCUGGUUUUCAUAGCUGAUUUCGAAAAGGCUUUUUGAUAAAGUACGACUGGAGUUUAUAUAUAAAUGCCUACAAUAUUUCAAUUUUGGGGAAUCUCUUAUAAAAUGGGUUAACGUUAUGUAUAGUAACCCUAGGUGUAAAAUAGUAAAUAAUGGCUACAUCUCAGAAAGUUUUAAACUAUCUAGAGGAGUAAAACAAGGUUGUCCACUAUCGGCAUAUCUAUUUAUUAUUGCCAUCGAAAUGUUAGCUGUUAAGAUUAGAUUAAACAAUAAUAUUAAGGGAUUAGAUAUCCGUGGCUUAAAAACUAAGGUGUCAUUGUACGCCGAUGAUUCAUGGUUUCUUUUAAAACCACAAUUAGAGUCUCUCCACGGCCUCAUAGAGGAUCAAGAUACUUUUGCUAUCCUCUCUGGAUUAAAACCAAAUUAUGAUAAGUGUACUAUAUUACGUAUUGGAUCACUAAGAAAUGCACAUUUUACAUUACCAUGUAGUUUUCCAAUUACUCCAAUUGGGGGAUCGGUGGUAGGGUUUGCGGGGAAUAAUAAUAAGGGUAUAUUCUUUAAAAAAGUAUGUUUAUAUAGGUAUGUGUAUGUAUAUAUGUGUAUAUGUAUGCAUGCAUAUAUGGAUAUAUAUUUACCAAAAAAAUAUAUGGGGGAUUGGAAAUGAUGCAGACAAUUACAUUGAUGGAAGCAAUAUUCUUUCCGCAAUAUUAAGCUGAUCCACCCCUAAAAAAAGAAUAUUUAAAAAUAAAAAAUUUGGGGGUUAAACAAGAUGAUCAUUACACAGGUGCACCUUGUGCUAGGAUAAUAAAAGGCCACUCUAAAAUGUGCAGUUUUGUCACACAAUGCAACUGUAACGGCCAUCGUAUGAAUUGGACCAAGGCGCAGCGGGUUGAGUGCUCAUUUUGACGUUUAUUUUAAAUAACCACGAACACUUCACGAAAACAAGAAAACGGACGACACCAUAACAGUUUGCAGGCUAACCCUAGCAGUGCAAAACAACCUCCCACAAUUCCUAAAACAAACAUACUCCUAAUUAUAGGACUUUCAAUCAGAGGCAACGAUAACCAGCUGCCUCCAAUUUAAGGCCCCAAUCCCAAUUACUAAACAUAGAAAUAAACACCCUAGAAACAGACAUAGAACUAUACAACAUAGAACUAAACCAAAAACCCCGGAAACAUAAAUCAAACGCCCCUCUACCUAAACACACACUCAAAACCAUAUAAAACAAAUACCCCCUGCCACGUCCUGACCAAACUCUAAUUACAAAUAACCCCUUUACUGGUCAGGACGUGACAGCAACGCCACAGAUGUCUCAAGUUUUGAAGGAGAGUGCAAGUGGCAUGCUGACUGCAGGAAUUUCCACCAGAGCUCUUGCCAGAGAAUUUAUUGUUAAUUUCUCUACCAUAAGCCGCUUCCAACAUCGUUUUAGAGAAUUUGACAGUACGUCUAACCGGUCUCACAACCACAGACCAUGUGUAUGGCGUCGUGUGCGCGAGCGGUUUGCUGAUGUCAACAUUGUGAACAGAAUGCCGCAUUGGUGGUGGUGGGGUUAUGGUAUGGCAAGGCAUAAUCUAUGGAUUACAAACACAAUUGCAUUUUAUCAAUGUCAAUUUCAAAGCACAGAUAUACUGUGACGAGAUCCUGAGGCCCAUUGUCGGGCCAUUCAUCCGCCAUCACCUCAUUUUCUCCAUCAUAAUGCACGGCCCCAUGUUGCAAGGAUCUGUACACAGUUCCUGGAAGCUGAAAAUGUCCCAGUUCUUCCAUGGCUUGCAUACUCACCAGACAUGUCACCCAUUGAGCACGUUUGGGAUGCUCUGGAUCGAUGUGUACGACAACAUGUUCCAGUUCCUGCCAAUAUCCAGCACCUUCGCACAGCCUGAUCAACUCUAUGCGAAGGAGAUGUGUCGCGCUGCAUGAGGCAAAUGGUGGUCACACCAGAUACUGACUGGUUUUCUGAUCCACGUCCCUACCUUCUUUUUUUUAAGGUAUCUGUGACAAACAGAUGCAUAUCGGUAUUCCCAGUCAUGUGAAUUCCAUAGAUGAGGGCCUAAUGAAUUUAUUUCAAUUGACUGAUUUCCUUAUAUGAACUGUAACUCAGUAAAAUCUUUGAAAUUGUUGCAUGUUGAGUUUAUAAAUUUGUUCAGUAUGCAUUUCUUGUCAGGUUCCUGGAGCAUUUCAUCCUGAAUGGUUCUGACCCCAAUGCUCUGGACUCAGUGUUGGCCCAGCUCAACGACCCAAACAGAAACAACCCUCAGGAUCUGGACAGGGCUGUCAUUGCACAAAUCUGUCAGGUGAAGGACAACUUAGCCAAGCAUUCCCCAGAGCUGAUACCUGCUGUGUUCACUAACACAUGAGCCUUGCCAGGUGCAUUCCAGGGAGCGCUGCACGGGGUCCUGACACAGAGCCAGCUGGAGGAGGCAGUCAGGGGAACCAUGCGCCGCGGGGGAUGCACCGCCAGUAGGGCCUCAUUCAUAGGGGCCUGUUUUGGAGCACAGACAGGUCUUCAGGGAAUCCCAGAGUCUUGGAAGAACAGGACCCUCAAAUAUCCUGUGCUGCUGGGACUGGCUAAGAAAGUUGUAGACUCACAGCAAGCCUAGAUUUGGCACAUUGUGUUAAAGGCAGUUAUGCAAAUGUAUAUUACUAAAUGAAUGUAUUGCUAAAGCUGAUUAACAUAACCAGUCCAACAUAUUAUUAGGGAAUAUGAAUUAUGUAUUGAUGUGUUUUUUUUUUUUUACAAUUGCUUUGUAAGCCCAUUUUAUAACACAGUUGUACUUUGACAAAACAGUUUAUGAAAGUUACAUUCUAAAGUAACAUUUGACGGAUGUAACUUGAACCUUGUUGCUCUGUCAAAGCUGCAGUAUGUUGCAAAAUGAUGAGUAUAUGAAAUAUGGAAUAUUCUUGUCAUGUAUACAUUAGGAUUAAAAGAGGAAGGAUACUUGUGGUCCAUUUUUGAGGUAACUGAGUAUGUAAAAUGAAUUAACACAGCAUCUAAACUAGAUGAGGAAGAUUACAAAUAGCAUUUGUGUGUUGUAGUACUUGCAUGUAUAGGAAAUUAUUAACUUAUCACAUAUUGCAAUUGUUUACUUUAACUUAGCUACAGCUCUGAAAUACUGUCUCUAUGGUUUUGGGUGGUUUUUGAGUUGAAAUAACCUCUGCUCUGGUUAGAGAAACUGAGGGCUUGCAAUAAUUUAAAGAACAGAAAUGUAUUUUGCAAAAGAGGAAAUGAAUUUCAGCAAGUUUCAAUACUCUAUCUCUUUCUCUCUCUGGCAUGGGUUCUGUUGAAGUGAAAUAACAGAGGCACAAAGAUUUACCGUGCUGAAACAACUGAAGGGACUGCAACUUAUCCCUCCCUCAAAGGAGUUAGUCUGUUUUCUUAAAACUGC
rnacentral:lncRNA from 1 species